CUCAGAUUGAACGCUGGCGGCAUGCCUUGCACAUGCAAGUCGAACGGCAGCACGGGAGCUUGCUCCUGGUGGCGAGUGGCGAACGGGUGAGUAAUACAUCGGAACGUACCCUGAAGUGGGGAUAACGUAGCGAAAGUUACGCUAAUACCGCAUAUUCUGUGAGCAGGAAAGAGGGGGAUCGCAAGACCUCUUGCUUUAGGAGCGGCCGAUGUCGGAUUAGCUAGUUGGUGAGGUAAAGGCUCACCAAGGCGACGAUCCGUAGCGGGUCUGAGAGGAUGAUCCGCCACACUGGGACUGAGACACGGCCCAGACUCCUACGGGAGGCAGCAGUGGGGAAUUUUGGACAAUGGGCGCAAGCCUGAUCCAGCCAUGCCGCGUGAGUGAAGAAGGCCUUCGGGUUGUAAAGCUCUUUCGGUGGGGAAGAAAUUGCUUCGGUUAAUACCUGGAGUAGAUGACGGUACCCGCAUAAGAAGCACCGGCUAACUACGUG
rnacentral:rRNA from 1 species